UUCAGUCUCUGUAGGUUCCUGAAUGGAUGGAUCUGUCACAUGCCACAUUUCAUCUGAGGGACCCUUCUCUCUGGAGCCCCUAGAUGAUUGCCUUGAGUCCUGCCUCUUAAACUGUAAGUCUUCAGAAUCAUAUUGACCUGAACUCUUUUGCCUCUGCUUCUCAGCUUCAUAUGCCAACUUUGUAUCAGAAACUGUCUUCUCCUUUUGGAUUUCAGAAGCCAAUACUUCAUGCCUAGCCUUCUCAACAAACUCCCCAACAAACUGCAUUGAUGAUUCCUCUAAACGAUGAGUUGAACCAAGAGCAUCUCCAGUUAAGAUAAGAUUUGAAGGCUCCCUGUAA
rnacentral:lncRNA from 1 species